UUUUCAGAAAGUGAGGAUGCUACGUCUUGAUCUACUGCCGUAACUGAAUAAAAAAAAAUAAGUACAGAUAGAGACGAAACGAGAUAGUUUUCGGUCGUUGCCGUUAAAUAGUCAGUUUUGUUCACCAGUUUUUGGCGUCGAGUAAAGCGUCAGAUUAUCAAAUUGGAACUCCUGAGUCAAGAACCCUCGCCCAAAUAAGGCUCCUGACCACCCCCCGAGUCCAUGCUGUCCGCCAUCGCCGCCGUAGUUUUUGCUGCGACCGUCGACGACAACUGUGGACCUCGCGAGGAACUAGACGACACUGUCCGUCGUCAACGCCGUCGCGGGCACUCAUCUACCGCCACCCCCUGCCAGUGCUGUCGCCCGACGACGAUCCGACCGGACCUGGUAGCCGGGCUCAGAUGAAACCGUCAUCUGCACCGUUGCAAUCGUCGUCUCCACCGUCGCCAUCGACAGCCGUCUCCGGCUCAAUCGUCGACCGCGACCGGCUCGGGAAACACCUCGUCCAAAAACACARGGAGUCGUCGCCGUCCUAGUUCACGUCGACCAAUCGACGGGGGGGUGGAGGGCUUUCCGAUGUACGUGCGAUCCACCGAUACCGCAGCAGCUGCAGUCGCCGCCUCCAACGCCAUCACCACCGACCGCACUGACGACCGGCGUCGAUUAUGAAGAAACACAAACGCGAACACUUGGAUUGCGGCUGACGACGAUAACUGAACUGCGGUCCCGAGGACACACACAUACACACACAAGAUCGCUCGCCAAACACACAAACAAACAAACACA